rnacentral:lncRNA from 1 species
GCCAGUCCAUGAGGAGCCCCUCUCCCUCACCCAGGAACCACAGAGGCUCCCGUCCUGGUGGUUCUCCUUUAGCUUCAAACAGUAAGUUGAUCUAAAAGUAAUGAAUGUGUCUGUAUAGCACAUAACACUUAAUCUAACAUUUUCAAUGUCUGAUGUUCUUGUCACAGGCAUCAGGGCCCGCUCCCCCAGAGAGAGGAACAGUGUAUUCCCCAUGGAAAAUUACAAAUUCCAGAGAUGUGUGAAGAAAAAAUUGGUGGAGAUCAUGGAGGUGGUGAAAAGAAUUGAGGCGGACCACCAAAGGGGAGGGACAUACCUAUUAAAAACCAUGUCGACCAUGGACGAGGUCCUCAUGUUAGAAGACAAGCUCAAUCAGGAGGAGAGACAGGCUCUGAUGGCACAGUUAAGCAAGGUCGGGGGGAAGGACAUAAAAGACUGUGUUGCAAAAAUUUUGAACAGAUUGAUGACGAAUGGCCUGAUGUCCCAUUUCAAUAUGAUGGGCCAUGGUGGGAAGACAGCUUUUAAAGCAAUGACUCUCUAUGGCGUCCUAACAGCUGCUGUUAAAAAAUGGAGUGAAAGGGCCACCGACCAUGACAUCGGGAGAGCUGUGGCAGAUCAAUUAAAACAUGCGCCUGGACGCUCCGGUGGUGGAGGCAAGAACAAUUAAUAAAGGGAUAAAGAAAGCAAUCAGUUAUUAAAAUGUUUUGUUUGACUUAUAGGCCUGUAAUGAUAUCAAUAUUUCAGAAUACGAUUAUCGCGACAAAAUAUAUCACAAUAACAUUAUUAUUGUGAUAUCAAUAGUAAUCAUUAUAAGAAAGCAAACACUUAAAGUAUAUUACAUUUCUUAUUAAAUGUCACUCUAUUCAAAAACAUAAAAUUUGACAGUACAACUCUCACUUUUUCUCAUAAAACAAAAUUCCCAAACCCGGUCAACAACAAUAGUUAUACUCCUGUCAGAGCAGCUUAAUUAGUGAUAACGUGUGGUGAUGCUGUUAUCGCUUUGAUAGCUCAUAAAUAUCACUAAACAUAGGUAUGUUUUUAAGCCUACUUAUUUAUUAUAAUUUCUUUACAAAGAAACGUUUAGCAUGAUCUUCAAAUUCAUAGUGAUGCUAUGCUAUGGGCAUCAUCAUACGAAUGGAAGAUGAGAGUUACAUUACAGCCUACUUACUUUGCAUAACAUUUCCAAUAGGCCAUGUUUAUGUUAGUUCGGCUAGUUAGUUCAUUAAUAGAAUUAGAUACAAUCUCUUGAUAUCGCCUUUUACUGCGCAGCGUACGUGCAUGUGCACACGAGCAUUUUCUAGCUGCGGGGCAGAGCAGUAUAGAGACUGGAGGAUAAAUGUUUUUCCAUCCCCUGCAUUCUCCAUCAUGUCCGGCAUGUUUUCAAGCCUACACAAUCAAAAGUUUGGCGUUGCUAUGACAUCAGGUUUGCCUGUGUGACAUUGAAGGGAGCAAGUGAGGAGACAUCACUGGAGAGAAACCUACAGGGAAGCUAUACAGGCGUGUAACUGAGGGUUCCGAUCGCGUAAAAAAACUCACCUGUUGAUUUAAAUAUAGCCUACCAUUGUUGUGCGACACGGUAAGUGGGUGCAUUAUUUCCACGAUAUUCACAUUAUGUUUUAAUGAUCACAAAAACGGUAGGCUAUAUCGCGACACCCAUUUGACUUGUUUAUUUACAAAAGCCUUGUAUUCGAUUAUGUAUUUAUCAUCUUAUAGAUGAUGGGUUAAGUUAGUAAAUAGGAAAUGCAUAAUGCACAUUUUUAAAAGCCUAUAAUAGGAUAAUAUAGGCUUAUAAAUGAAUACAUAACAGCAAUAUUCUAGUCGAAAAUAGGUCCAUGGCAGCACCUAAACCAGACGUGGUUUCAACCAAAUAUAGGCGUUGAAAAGACGUCUUUCAAUAGACGUCUUUUCAACGACCGGGAAAAGACGUCGUUUCACCUUUCACUUUUCAACCAAACUUGAACGUUGUUUCGACGACUUGAAAAGACGUCUUUUCAACGUCUUUUCAGCGUAAUUUUGCUGGGUGGGAUAUGUCGAGCCGUGGUCUAAUUAAUCUCUCUCUGUGAAUUGCACUAAUUAUUUGCGCUCCGAUAUCAACCGGCCUCUCGUCAAAAGGGCAUGCCAUUGUGGUCACGUAAAAGCUGUGGUGAAGGCGGGUUUAAAUACCCUGAGCAAAACCGGGUUAUCUUUGAACUUAACCUGCGCAAAACCUGCUCCGACCAGGUUUGAUUCAGAGCAUAUGUUUCUAUAGCAACUAACAUACCGUGUUCCUUUUGGAACGGAAAACCUAGGGUUACCGCAAACCCUGGGUUAACUUACCCGGUUAUGUGAUAAAACCGGCUUUGUGGACAAGGGACUCUCUAAAUCGACGCCACUUCGACCUGGGCGGGACUUUACGUCCUACGUCACUCGCUAUGGGUUUGCAUGUGUGCGCGUAGCCGUUUGUCUCAGGGAUCUGUGCACGAACUCCCUUGCACUACAGAUUACGAGCGUCAGUGUCGUACGCGAUGGAGGGUGGGUGACAUUUCUACAGUCUAUGAUGAUAGGCUAUAUUUCUACAAAUGACUUACUAUUACUAGCGAUUAACAUGACGAAACCACACGAACUAAGCUAACAUUAGACUAUAGCCAUACCAGAUAACCCUAACUAUUUAUAUUAAACUCUGAACCAUUUUGCAACAGGCAACUGUGUGUUGGUGCGUCUUAUUGCUUCCCACGUCUGCGUCUGCAUCUUUCCCACUCCUGGCUAAUAGUUUCAGCUUUUGUACUGUAUAUCAGAAAUGAUCACCCUGUAGCCUACAACACUGCUGACUUGUUGAUGUUUUGUGAGCACUCACGCAUUUCUCUAGGUAUCUUAAGUUUCCUACUGGAGUCAUCAUGCGCAUCUUUUUGACAUUCAUACCCAACUACACAAAACCAAGGAACAACGGACCAUCUCCUUCAGAAACAUCAAACUUAUCA